UACGUAGGGAGCAAGCGUUGUCCGGAAUCAUUGGGCGUAAAGCGCGCGUAGGUGGCCCCAUAAGUCCGCUGUGAAAGUCAAAGGCUCAACCUUUGAAAGCCGGUGGAUACUGUGGGACUAGAGUACGGAAGAGGCGAGUGGAAUUCCUGGUGUAGCGGUGGAAUGCGCAGAUAUCAGGAGGAACACCGGUGGCGAAGGCGGUUCUCUGGGCAUGUCCUGACGCUGAGGAGCGAAAGUGUGGGGAGCGAACAGG
rnacentral:rRNA from 1 species